rnacentral:rRNA from 1 species
CAGCAGCCGCGGGAAUACGUAGGUCCCGAGCGUUGUCCGGAUUUAUUGGGCGUAAAGCGAGCGCAGGCGGUUAGAUAAGUCUGAAGUUAAAGGCUGUGGCUUAACCAUAGUACGCUUUGGAAACUGUUUAACUUGAGUGCAAGAGGGGAGAGUGGAAUUCCAUGUGUAGCGGUGAAAUGCGUAGAUAUAUGGAGGAACACCGGUGGCGAAAGCGGCUCUCUGGCUUGUAACUGACGCUGAGGAGCGAAAGCGUGGGGAGCGAACAGGAUUAGAUACCCCCGUAGUCCCUGUCUCUUAUACA